rnacentral:rRNA from 1 species
GACAGAGGGGGCAAGCGUUGCUCGGAAUUACUGGGCGUAAAGGGCGCGUAGGCGGGAUGGCAAGUCGGUCGUGAAAGCCCCCGGCUCAACUGGGGAGGGUCAUUCGAUACUGAUCGACUCGAAGGCAGGAGAGGGUAGUGGAAUUCCCGGUGUAGUGGUGAAAUGCGUAGAUAUCGGGAGGAACACCAGUGGCGAAGGCGACUACCUGGCCUGUUCUUGACGCUGAGGCGCGAAAGCUAGGGGAGCAAACGGG